GACGAACCGUGCGAACGUUGUUCGGAAUCACUGGGCUUAAAGGGCGCGUAGGCGGGCCCGCAAGUCAGGGGUGAAAUCCCACGGCUCAACCGUGGAAGUGCCUUUGAUACUGCGGGCCUUGAGGGAGGUAGGGGCGUGCGGAACUUCCGGUGGAGCGGUGAAAUGCGUAGAUAUCGGAAGGAACACCGGUGGCGAAAGCGGCGCGCUGGACCUCUACUGACGCUGAGGCGCGAAAGCCAGGGGAGCAAACGGG
rnacentral:rRNA from 1 species